GAUUAGUGGCGCACGGGUGAGUAACGCAUAGGUCAUGUGCCUCUUAGUUUGGGAUAGCCAUUGGAAACGAUGAUUAAUACCAGAUACUCCCUACGGGGGAAAGAUUUAUCGCUAAGAGAUCAGCCUAUGUCCUAUCAGCUUGUUGGUAAGGUAAUGGCUUACCAAGGCUAUGACGGGUAUCCGGCCUGAGAGGGUGAACGGACACACUGGAACUGAGACACGGUCCAGACUCCUACGGGAGGCAGCAGUAGGGAAUAUUGCUCAAUGGGGGAAACCCUGAAGCAGCAACGCCGCGUGGAGGAUGAAGGUUUUAGGAUUGUAAACUCCUUUUGUUAGAGAAGAUAAUGACGGUAUCUAACGAAUAAGCACCGGCUAACUCCGUGCCAGCAGCCGCGGUAAUACGGAGGGUGCAAGCGUUACUCGGAAUCACUGGGCGUAAAGAGCGCGUAGGCGGGAUAGUCAGUCAGGUGUGAAAUCCUAUGGCUUAACCAUAGAACUGCAUUUGAAACUACUAUUCUAGAGUGUGGGAGAGGUAGGUGGAAUUCUUGGUGUAGGGGUAAAAUCCGUAGAGAUCAAGAGGAAUACUCAUUGCGAAGGCGACCUGCUGGAACAUUACUGACGCUGAUUGCGCGAAAGCGUGGGGAGCAAACAGGAUUAGAUACCCUGGUAGUCCACGCCCUAAACGAUGGAUGCUAGUUGUUGGAGGGCUUAGUCUCUCCAGUAAUGCAGCUAACGCAUUAAGCAUCCCGCCUGGGGAGUACGGUCGCAAGAUUAAAACUCAAAGGAAUAGACGGGGACCCGCACAAGCGGUGGAGCAUGUGGUUUAAUUCGAAGAUACACGAAGAACCUUACCUAGGCUUGACAUUGAGAGAAUCCGCUAGAAAUAGUGGAGUGUCUGGCUUGCCAGACCUUGAAAACAGGUGCUGCACGGCUGUCGUCAGCUCGUGUCGUGAGAUGUUGGGUUAAGUCCCGCAACGAGCGCAACCCCCUUUCUUAGUUGCUAACAGGUCAUGCUGAGAACUCUAAGGAUACUGCCUCCGUAAGGAGGAGGAAGGUGGGGACGACGUCAAGUCAUCAUGGCCCUUACGCCUAGGGCUACACACGUGCUACAAUGGGGUGCACAAAGAGAAGCAAUACUGCGAAGUGGAGCCAAUCUUCAAAACAUCUCUCAGUUCGGAUUGUAGGCUGCAACUCGCCUGCAUGAAGCUGGAAUCGCUAGUAAUCGCAAAUCAGCCAUGUUGCGGUGAAUACGUUCCCGGGUCUUGUACUCACCGCCCGUCACACCAUGGGAGUUGUGUUUGCCUUAAGUCAGGAUGCUAAAUUAGCUACUGCCCACGGCACACACAGCGACUGGGGUGAAGUCGUAACAAGGUAACCGUAGGUGAACCUGCGGUUGGAUCACCUCCUUUCUAGA
rnacentral:rRNA from 1 species